GGGUUGUGAGGUUAAGCGACUAAGCGUACACGGUGGAUGCCCAGGCAGUCAGAGGCGAUGAAGGACGUGCUAAUCUGCGAUAAGCGUCGGUAAGGUGAUAUGAACCGUUAUAACCGGCGAUUUCCGAAUGGGGAAACCCAGUGUGUUUCGACACACUAUCAUUAACUGAAUCCAUAGGUUAAUGAGGCGAACCGGGGGAACUGAAACAUCUAAGUACCCCGAGGAAAAGAAAUCAACCGAGAUUCCCCCAGUAGCGGCGAGCGAACGGGGAGCAGCCCAGAGCCUGAAUCAGUGUGUGUGUUAGUGGAAGCGUCUGGAAAGGCGCGCGAUACAGGGUGACAGCCCCGUACACAAAAAUGCACAUGCUGUGAGCUCGAUGAGUAGGGCGGGACACGUGGUAUCCUGUCUGAAUAUGGGGGGACCAUCCUCCAAGGCUAAAUACUCCUGACUGACCGAUAGUGAACCAGUACCGUGAGGGAAAGGCGAAAAGAACCCCGGCGAGGGGAGUGAAAAAGAACCUGAAACCGUGUACGUACAAGCAGUGGGAGCACGCUUAGGCGUGUGACUGCGUACCUUUUGUAUAAUGGGUCAGCGACUUAUAUUCUGUAGCAAGGUUAACCGAAUAGGGGAGCCGAAGGGAAACCGAGUCUUAACUGGGCGUUAAGUUGCAGGGUAUAGACCCGAAACCCGGUGAUCUAGCCAUGGGCAGGUUGAAGGUUGGGUAACACUAACUGGAGGACCGAACCGACUAAUGUUGAAAAAUUAGCGGAUGACUUGUGGCUGGGGGUGAAAGGCCAAUCAAACCGGGAGAUAGCUGGUUCUCCCCGAAAGCUAUUUAGGUAGCGCCUCGUGAAUUCAUCUCCGGGGGUAGAGCACUGUUUCGGCAAGGGGGUCAUCCCGACUUACCAACCCGAUGCAAACUGCGAAUACCGGAGAAUGUUAUCACGGGAGACACACGGCGGGUGCUAACGUCCGUCGUGAAGAGGGAAACAACCCAGACCGCCAGCUAAGGUCCCAAAGUCAUGGUUAAGUGGGAAACGAUGUGGGAAGGCCCAGACAGCCAGGAUGUUGGCUUAGAAGCAGCCAUCAUUUAAAGAAAGCGUAAUAGCUCACUGGUCGAGUCGGCCUGCGCGGAAGAUGUAACGGGGCUAAACCAUGCACCGAAGCUGCGGCAGCGACGCUUAUGCGUUGUUGGGUAGGGGAGCGUUCUGUAAGCCUGUGAAGGUGUGCUGUGAGGCAUGCUGGAGGUAUCAGAAGUGCGAAUGCUGACAUAAGUAACGAUAAAGCGGGUGAAAAGCCCGCUCGCCGGAAGACCAAGGGUUCCUGUCCAACGUUAAUCGGGGCAGGGUGAGUCGACCCCUAAGGCGAGGCCGAAAGGCGUAGUCGAUGGGAAACAGGUUAAUAUUCCUGUACUUGGUGUUACUGCGAAGGGGGACGGAGAAGGCUAUGUUGGCCGGGCGACGGUUGUCCCGGUUUAAGCGUGUAGGCUGGUUUUCCAGGCAAAUCCGGAAAAUCAAGGCUGAGGCGUGAUGACGAGGCACUACGGUGCUGAAGCAACAAAUGCCCUGCUUCCAGGAAAAGCCUCUAAGCAUCAGGUAACAUCAAAUCGUACCCCAAACCGACACAGGUGGUCAGGUAGAGAAUACCAAGGCGCUUGAGAGAACUCGGGUGAAGGAACUAGGCAAAAUGGUGCCGUAACUUCGGGAGAAGGCACGCUGAUAUGUAGGUGAAGUCCCUCGCGGAUGGAGCUGAAAUCAGUCGAAGAUACCAGCUGGCUGCAACUGUUUAUUAAAAACACAGCACUGUGCAAACACGAAAGUGGACGUAUACGGUGUGACGCCUGCCCGGUGCCGGAAGGUUAAUUGAUGGGGUUAGCCGCAAGGCGAAGCUCUUGAUCGAAGCCCCGGUAAACGGCGGCCGUAACUAUAACGGUCCUAAGGUAGCGAAAUUCCUUGUCGGGUAAGUUCCGACCUGCACGAAUGGCGUAAUGAUGGCCAGGCUGUCUCCACCCGAGACUCAGUGAAAUUGAACUCGCUGUGAAGAUGCAGUGUACCCGCGGCAAGACGGAAAGACCCCGUGAACCUUUACUAUAGCUUGACACUGAACAUUGAGCCUUGAUGUGUAGGAUAGGUGGGAGGCUUAGAAGUGUGGACGCCAGUCUGCAUGGAGCCGACCUUGAAAUACCACCCUUUAAUGUUUGAUGUUCUAACGUUGACCCGUAAUCCGGGUUGCGGACAGUGUCUGGUGGGUAGUUUGACUGGGGCGGUCUCCUCCUAAAGAGUAACGGAGGAGCACGAAGGUUGGCUAAUCCUGGUCGGACAUCAGGAGGUUAGUGCAAUGGCAUAAGCCAGCUUGACUGCGAGCGUGACGGCGCGAGCAGGUGCGAAAGCAGGUCAUAGUGAUCCGGUGGUUCUGAAUGGAAGGGCCAUCGCUCAACGGAUAAAAGGUACUCCGGGGAUAACAGGCUGAUACCGCCCAAGAGUUCAUAUCGACGGCGGUGUUUGGCACCUCGAUGUCGGCUCAUCACAUCCUGGGGCUGAAGUAGGUCCCAAGGGUAUGGCUGUUCGCCAUUUAAAGUGGUACGCGAGCUGGGUUUAGAACGUCGUGAGACAGUUCGGUCCCUAUCUGCCGUGGGCGCUGGAGAACUGAGGGGGGCUGCUCCUAGUACGAGAGGACCGGAGUGGACGCAUCACUGGUGUUCGGGUUGUCAUGCCAAUGGCACUGCCCGGUAGCUAAAUGCGGAAGAGAUAAGUGCUGAAAGCAUCUAAGCACGAAACUUGCCCCGAGAUGAGUUCUCCCUGACUCCUUGAGAGUCCUGAAGGAACGUUGAAGACGACGACGUUGAUAGGCCGGGUGUGUAAGCGCAGCGAUGCGUUGAGCUAACCGGUACUAAUGAACCGUGAGGCUUAACCUUACAACGCCGAAGGUGUUU
rnacentral:rRNA from 1 species